GUUGAAAAUAGAAGUCAGAAAAAGAAGCACAAUAACUUCAGCACAAUAACUUCAGUCAAAUAUUAACCAAAAUCCCUUAAUCAAAGGGAUUUUGGUAUGACUAUCAGCUCUAUCUUUACACUAUAAAAUAGGAACGAUUGUAAUGAAAACAUAUGAAAUACAAAACACAAAGUAUCUUUACAGCCAUCUUGUAUCUCUUCUUUAUCAUGUCAAAUACCAAUUUAAACAUGGUAUCAGAGCAGGAACUCAGAAAAAAUAUCAUCAUCGUUCCAUACCUUUCUCAAACCUUUUGAACCCAUCAAGGCAGCCUCUGCCUUCUUUUUCUUUUUCUCCUGAAAAAUAUCAUACAGAAUGUCAGAAGAAAUAGAAGCUACCAGUUCAAAUCCAAACACAAAUGAAUUAACUCUACAGAUCGCAAAUCUGGUGAGAAAUUCAGACAAUGUUACUCUGGGGUUCAAACUCGAUGGAAAUAACUAUCCCCUAUGGGCACGUCUUAUGAAAGUCGCCAUCGGAAGUAGGGGAAAAUCAAGUCACAUUACAGGGCAACCUUCCCCACCUCCGGCGACAGACCCGGAGUACUAUAGAUGGGAAGAAACGGAUUUGUCCGUUUUUUCCUGGCUAAUACAGAAUAUGGAAACAAGAUUGGUGAUCAAUUUCGCUCAACACCAGACAGCUAAGGCCGUUUGGGAUAGUCUGGCCAUCACCUACGGAAGUGGGAUGGACCCAUUUCAGAUAUACGAUCUGGAAGUGAAAGCUAACAAAGUCAGUCAAAAACAACUCACGCUAGAGGACUACUGGAACGAGCUCCAGGCCAUUUGGCUUACCAUCGACCGAAGGGAGCCCAACCCCCUUGGCUGCUGUGAUGAGGGGAUUAACAAGUACCGAAAAUUGAUCGGAAAUCGGCGAUUGUACCAAUUCCUAUCUGGAUUGGACCCCAAAUAUGAUGGAA
rnacentral:lncRNA from 1 species